UGGGGAGCUGUAUCAGAGCUCCUCAGCCCAAUGAAGCAGGUCUAUCCAUGGAGCUUCCAUGAGAACUGGUCUAACAGGAGCUCUGACAAGAGACGACUUUGAUGCAGGAGGCACAGGUGCAGCAAGCAUGCACAGAGGCCACUUUGAACACAGACAACAAGCAUCAAAUUCUAAGCUGCAAGAAUGAUAAAACAAGGCUCACCAGUUUCCCCAAAUGUACUAGUAAAUGGGGAAAAAACAACACUUGAGGCAAGCUUUCUGCCUGAGUUGUGGAAAAGAGAAGAUGGGACUGGACUCUGGACAUCUAUCUGAACAAAAGCACACUGCUAAUGGAUAAGACAGCAGUGAGACUGUAAAUAAGUAAAUGAAAAUUUAGAACGCACAAAGAAGUUCUUGGUCUUUUUCAGUGAAAGGCCCAAAUAUUUUUCCUUUAUGCCAAUUAUAUUAGUCAACAGUGCAGACCAGAG
rnacentral:lncRNA from 1 species